AUUGAACGCUGGCGGCAGGCUUAACACAUGCAAGUCGAGCGGAGAUGAGGUGCUUGCACCUUAUCUUAGCGGCGGACGGGUGAGUAAUGCUUAGGAAUCUGCCUAUUAGUGGGGGACAACAUUCCGAAAGGAAUGCUAAUACCGCAUACGUCCUACGGGAGAAAGCAGGGGACCUUCGGGCCUUGCACUAAUCGAUGAGCCUAAGUCGGAUUAGCUAGUUGGUGGGGUAAAGGCCUACCAAGGCGACGAUCUGUAGCGGGUCUGAGAGGAUGAUCCGCCACACUGGGACUGAGACACGGCCCAGACUCCUACGGGAGGCAGCAGUGGGGAAUAUUGGACAAUGGGCGGAAGCCUGAUCCAGCCAUGCCGCGUGUGUGAAGAAGGCCUUUUGGUUGUAAAGCACUUUAAGCGAGGAGGAGGCUACUUAGAUUAAUACUCUAGGAUAGUGGACGUUACUCGCAGAAUAAGCACCGGCUAACUCUGUGCCAGCCGCGCCGUAAAAC
rnacentral:rRNA from 1 species